CCUACGGGUGGCAGCAGUGGGGAAUAUUGGACAAUGGGGGCAACCCUGAUCCAGCCAUGCCGCGUGUGUGAAGAAGGCCCUCGGGUUGUAAAGCACUUUCAGUGAGGAAGAACGCCUGGUGGUUAAUACCCAUCAGGAAAGACAUCACUCACAGAAGAAGCACCGGCUAACUCCGUGCCAGCAGCCGCGGUAAUACGGAGGGUGCGAGCGUUAAUCGGAAUUACUGGGCGUAAAGCGCGCGUAGGUGGCUUGAUAAGCCGGUUGUGAAAGCCCCGGGCUCAACCUGGGAACGGCAUCCGGAACUGUCAAGCUAGAGUGCAGGAGAGGAAGGUAGAAUUCCCGGUGUAGCGGUGAAAUGCGUAGAGAUCGGGAGGAAUACCAGUGGCGAAGGCGGCCUUCUGGACUGACACUGACACUGAGGUGCGAAAGCGUGUGUAGCAAACAGGAUUAGAUACCCGUGUAGUC
rnacentral:rRNA from 1 species